rnacentral:rRNA from 1 species
AUUGAACGCUGGCGGCAGGCCUAACACAUGCAAGUCGAACGGUAACAGGAAGCAGCUUGCUGCUUUGCUGACGAGUGGCGGACGGGUGAGUAAUGUCUGGGAAACUGCCCGAUGGAGGGGGAUAACUACUGGAAACGGUAGCUAAUACCGCAUAACGUCGCAAGACCAAAGAGGGGGACCUUAGGGCCUCUUGCCAUCGGAUGUUCCCAGAUGGGAUUAGCUAGUAGGUGGGGUAACGGCUCACCUAGGCGACGAUCCCUAGCUGGUCUGAGAGGAUGACCGGCCACACUGGAACUGAGACACGGUCCAGACUCCUACGGGAGGCAGCAGUGGGGAAUAUUGCACAAUGGGCGCAAGCCUGAUGCAGCCAUGCCGCGUGUAUGAAGAAGGCCUUCGGGUUGUAAAGUACUUUCAGCGGGGAGGAAGAGAGUAAAGUUAAUACCUUUGCUCAUUGACGUUACCCGCAGAGGAAGCACCGGCUAACUCCGUG